GGACCAAGGAGUCUAGCAUGUGCGCGAGUCAUUGGGACUCUGAUAAACCUAAAGGCGAAAUGAAAGUGAAGGCCGCCUUGCGCGUGCCGAGGGAGGACCGGCCGGGCGACAGCUCGCGCCGUGCACUCCCGGGGCGUCUUCGUACUCAUCGCGAGUUGAGGCGCACCCAGAGCGUACACGCUGGUACCC
rnacentral:rRNA from 1 species